UUCUUACCUGCAAAACAAACGACUGCUGCUACUACAACCCAUGUCGGUUCGUUUCAUUCCACGCCUUUUACCUGUGAAAAUGGAAGAACAAAUGGAAUUUUGAUAAAAGAAGCACUCAACAACCAACUAAGAGUUACGAAAGGUAUGCAGUACGUCAAAAGUGUGCUGAAACAUAGAGAGCUUUGAGAAACCUUCUC